UACGGGGGGGGCAAGCGUUGUUCGGAAUUACUGGGCGUAAAGGGCUCGUAGGCGGCCAACUAAGUCGGAUGUGAAAUCCCCAAGCUUAACUUGGGAACUGCAUCCGAUACUGGAUGGCUUGAAUCCGGGAGAGGGAUGCAGAAUUCCAGGUGUAGCGGUGAAAUGCGUAGAUAUCUGGAGGAAUACCGGGUGGCGAAGGCGGCAUCCUGGACCGGCAUUGGACGCUGAGGAGCGAA
rnacentral:rRNA from 1 species